rnacentral:rRNA from 1 species
UACGUAGGGACCAAGCGUUGUCCGGAAUCAUUGGGCGUAAAGAGCGUGUAGGCGGCUUGUUAAGUCUUGUGUGAAAUCUCGGGGCUCAACCCCGAGCGGUCAUGAGAAACUGGCAGGCUAGAGUGCGGGAGAGGAGAGUGGAAUUCCUGGUGUAGGCGGUGAAAUGCGCAGAGUAUCAGGAAGAACACCCGUGGCGAAGGCGGCUGCUCUG